rnacentral:rRNA from 1 species
CAACCCGUCUCUGUUGCAAAAGAGUGGGAAGAUUUCCAAGUAGAGGUGACAAGCCUAUCGAACUUAGAGAUAGCUGGUUGUUCAGGAAAAGAGUCCAAGCUCUACCUUAAGUUUUUUGAUUUAUCUAAACAAACCCCUAGACUUAAGAGCUAUUCAAGUAAGGCACAGCUUACUUGAAACAGGAUACAACCUCCUACAUUGGGUAAACAAGAACAAUUUAAACAAAGUGGGCCUAAAAGCAGCCAUCUUACAAAAAGCGUUAAAGCUUAACUUACAUACACUCAUAAUUCCAAUAGUUCUUAUUAACCCCUCAUUGUUACUGAACUAUUUUAUAAUCUUAUAAAAAUUAUUAUGCUAGAACUAGUAACAUGAAAUUACCUUUCUCCUUAAUGUAAGCUUCAACCAUAAUGGAUUAUCCACCGGUAUUUAACGUAACUGUCUUCAUUAUAGCAACAUACUACUAGAAAACCCUAUAACCACUAACGUCAACCUCACACUAGAACAUUACAGGAAAGAUUAAAAGAAAGAGAAGGAACUCGGCAAACCCCAGCCCCGCCUGUUUACCAAAAACAUCGCCUCUUGAUUAACAUAAGAGGUCCAGCCUGCCCAGUGACAUAGUUUAACGGCCGCGGUACCCUAACCGUGCGAAGGUAGCAUAAUCACUUGUUCUCUAAAUAGGGACUAGUAUCAACGGCAUCACGAGGGCUACACUGUCUCCUCUCUCCAAUCAGUGAAACUGAUCUCCCCGUGAAGAAGCGGGGAUUUAAAUAUAAGACGAGAAGACCCCAUGGAGCUUUAAACUUAAUACACACCUCUAUUUACCUACACCAACUAACCCUAAAAGUCUGUGUAUCAGUUUUAGGUUGGGGGGACCGCGGAGUAUAACUCAACCUCCACGACAAACGGGCCAACGCCCUUAUCCAUGAAACACAAUUCUAAGAAUCAAUAAUCUGAUGUUUUAUGACCCGACAAGUCGAUCAACGAACCAAGUUACCCUGGGGAUAACAGCGCAAUCUA